rnacentral:tRNA from 1 species
GGAGAGGUCGCAUAGCCCGGCCUAGUGCGCUCGCUUGGAAAGCGAGUAGACCGUAAUUGGUCUCCAGGGUUCAAAUCCCUGCCUCUCCG